ACACACACACACACACACACACACACACACACACACACACACACACACACACACACACACACACACACACACACACACACAGGUACAGGCACAGGCCAGCAUGUAGGUUUUUGUUAGUGUGGGAACAAGAGAGGGUGGGGGAGCAUUGCAAAGCAUCUUCUCCUUCUCUCAUGGUUCUCCUACAUUACCUUCUCCUGUGACCAUCUGAGUUGCAUGUGCGCUUUGACAGUAACAGAAAACAGACUGCUGAUGCAGAGACAAAAGCUUGUUACUGAGACAAAGGCCUUGGCACAACACCAAACAAAACAACCAAACGUAUUUUUAUCCAGACAGGCUGGAAAAAUGUCAGCGACACUGUAAAAGCUCCUUGGGGAAUGACGACAAUGAUGAUCCAAGAAAUUGGGGGGAGGUGGAAGAUUUAACGAAGGGUAAAGAAGAGCAGGAAAUGGUAUUAGGAAAGGGAAAUUAAACGGGACAGAGAACUGGGGUGGGGGCAAGGGUAGGGGAGAAGGGGGAGGAGACAUACUGGUAUACAGCUAAACAAAAACAUUGAUGUGAUGGAUGUCCCAUGCUUAGAGGAAAUGACCAACCGGCUCAACAGGAAGCUGCUCCUGUAACUAUAAAGCCAGGUUCGCUAAGAAGAUGUGAAUUAGAAAGUUUGGGCUGAGUCUUAAGUCUGUCUUUAAGACCCUCCUAACAGUGAUUGUCUUCAACAUUAUCAUCUCGAGCUUAUUUCUUCGUGUGUCUUUGAGCAUCUUUGCCCUCCCUCCUGAUUUCCUUACAUUGCCGUUCAUGAGAGAGGAAAAGGAACUGGACAGUUUUAAUCCCUGUAACUUUAGAAAGGUUUCUAGCCCCCAUCUUACCUUCCAUUGUUACCUCUGUAGCAGGAGUGGACAGUUGGGUUUGUCUGUCUGAAUUUUAAGGAAACACUUCCUUAAAGCGAUUAUAAAAAAAAAAAAAGAAGAAAGGAAAAAAAUGCCUUUUGUAAAACAAGAUUUGAUCAGAAUUGUUUUUGUCUGUGUUUGACUAGUGCUCAUACUUACCUGUGAUCCAUAUUGGAGUGGUAGCCUUUUCACAUCAUACAAUAUUGUGAUCUCAUGUGGCCACUUGAGACGAGCGCUAAAAUAGUAGUAGCCUAGAAGUUUUUUU